GAUGAACGCUGGCGGCGUGCCUAAUACAUGCAAGUCGAGCGAACAGACGAGGAGCUUGCUCCUCUGACGUUAGCGGCGGACGGGUGAGUAACACGUGGAUAACCUACCUAUAAGACUGGGAUAACUUCGGGAAACCGGAGCUAAUACCGGAUAAUAUAUUGAACCGCAUGGUUCAAUAGUGAAAGACGGUUUUGCUGUCACUUAUAGAUGGAUCCGCGCCGCAUUAGCUAGUUGGUAAGGUAACGGCUUACCAAGGCAACGAUGCGUAGCCGACCUGAGAGGGUGAUCGGCCACACUGGAACUUAGACACGGUCCAGACUCCUACGGGAGGCAGCAGUAGGGAAUCUUCCGCAGUGGGCGAAAGCCUGACGGAGCAACGCCGCGUGAGUGAUGAAGGUCUUCGGAUCGUAAAACUCUGUUAUUAGGGAAGAACAAAUGUGUAAGUAACUAUGCACGUCUUGACGGUACCUAAUCAGAAAGCCACGGCUAACUACGUG
rnacentral:rRNA from 1 species